rnacentral:lncRNA from 1 species
GUGCGCAAAGAAAAAACAAAGCCUUUUAGUGAUUUUGAAUUACGACUCGAUGAUGAGGUUGAACGUAAAUCCGUCCUUCGUUCUUGAUUCUUCACUUUUGAAUGAAAUGAUUUCGCGAAUUCGUCUCGGUUGAUUAUGCAUCAACGGUGUAGAAACGACUUGAGGAGAGUGUUGAAUCGUGUUCAUGCAUGGCAAUGUGAGUGGCUCAUUGGCCGAGCGUGCGUUUUAUGCAAGAACAGAGUUCUUGGCGGCGUGCAUUGGCCGGGUUUAU